CGCGUAUUCACGUUAUAGGAAGUCAUACAUUUUUGUCGACCAGUGUUUCAUGAAUUUCUUCUUUUAUUUUUUAAAAAUUAUUUCAUUCUUAACGUCUCGUAACCCGCUUUAUCGUGUCUGUUGGCGAUAGGCGAUCAUCGAACGUCCAUCAUGAACGAUCAACGGACGUCGAACGGCCGCCGAUGAAAAGUCGAACGGCCGCCGAUGAAAAUGUACAACGAGGAACCAAUAUGGCGGAUCGCGUUUACCACCGUUUGACGAUCUGUUCAUGCUUUUUCAUCCGUUUUGAUCUUGUCGCCGUAGCUGCUGUAGUUUCCGCCGAGCUUAUAACGAGAUUACGCGACCAAUGGAACGUCUAACAUGAAUGAUCAACGGGUGUCGAACGGCCGCCGAUGAAAAUGUACAAGGAGGAACCAAUAUGGCGGAUCGCGUUACCACCGUUUGACGAUCUAUUCAUGUUUUUUCAUCCGUUUUGAUCUUGUCGCCGUAGCUGCUGUUGUUUCCACCGAGCUUAUAACGAGUUUAGGCGACCAAUGGAACGUCCAACAUGAAUGAUUAACGGGUGUCGAACGGUCGCCGAUGAAAAUGUACAACGAGGAACCAAUAUGGCGGAUCGCGUUACCACCGUUUGACGAUCUAUUCAUGCUUUUUCAUCCGUUUUGAUCUUGUUGCCGUAGCUGCUGUUGUUUCUGCCGAGUUUAUAACGAGAUUACGCGACCAAUGGAACGUACAUCAUGAACGAACAACGGGUGUCGAACGGCCGCCGAUGAAAAUGUACAACGAGGAACCAAUAUGGCGGAUCGCGUUACCACCGUUUGACGAUCUAUUCAUGCUUUUUCAUCCGUUUUGAUCUUGUCGCCGUAGCUGCUGUUGUUUCUACCGAGCUUAUAACGAGAUUACGAAAUUUUUCAUCUGCGCCAUACCGAUGAUUUUACAAUCUCGAUUGCUGCCAUACGAUGAAAUGUAAGUAAUAAUUAUAUCUCCUUUUGCUUUGGGUCUGAAAAUAUAUAAGUACUGCUUUUAUGAUAAUAAAAAUGUCCUUUUUUUAUUUAUCUUUUUGUUCAGUAGGAUUCUGAGAUAACAUUCAGUAUUUUGAAUUUUAGUUAUCUUUAUUUAACUAAUUUGAAGACUAAGUACAAUU